rnacentral:rRNA from 1 species
UACAGAGACUGCAAGCGUUAUUCGGAUUCACUGGGCGUAAAGGGUGUGUAGGUGGCGCCGUAAGUCGGAUGUGAAAUUUCGGAGCUUAACUCCGAAACUGCAUUCGAUACUGCCGUGCUUGAGGACUGGAGAGGAGACUGGAAUUUACGGUGUAGCGGUGAAAUGCGUAGAUAUCGUAAGGAAGACCAGUGGCGAAGGCGGGUCUCUGGACAGUUCCUGACGCUGAGGCACGAAGGUCAGGGGAGCAAACGGG